rnacentral:rRNA from 1 species
UUUUUGAAUUAAUUUAAAGUCCAAUCUGCCCACUGAUUAUAAAUUAAAGGGCUGCAGUAAUUUGACUGUACAAAGGUAGCAUAAUCAUUAGUCUUUUAAUUGAAGACUUGUAUGAAUGAUUUGAUGAGAUAUAAACUGUCUCUUAUUUAUAUUUAAAAUUUAAUUUUUUAGUUAAAAAGCUAAAAUACUUUUAAAAGACGAGAAGACCCUAUAGAGUUUUAUAAAUUUAUUAAUAAAAUAUUUAUAUAAAAUUUUAAUAUUUUAUUAAUAAAUUUAUUUUGUUGGGGUGAUAGAAAAAUAAAAAUAACUUUUUUUAAAAAUUAACAAAUAUAAUUGAGUAAAUGAUCCAAAAUAUUGAUUGAAAGAAAAAAUUACCUUAGGGAUAACAGCGUAAUAUUUUUUUUUAGUACGAAUAAAAAAAAAAGUUUGCGACCUCGAUGUUGGAUUAAGAUAAAAUUUAAAUGCAAAAGUUUAAAAUUUUGAUCUGUUCGAUCAUUAAAAUCUUACAUGAUCUGAGCCUCAAACC